rnacentral:rRNA from 1 species
UACGAAGGGGGCAAGCGUUGUUCGGAAUUACUGGGCGUAAAGGGCGCGUAGGCGGUGCGCUAAGUCAGGCGUGAAAGCCCUGGGCUCAACCCGGGAAUUGCGCUUGAUACUGGCGUGCUCGAAUCCGGGAGAGGUUGGUGGAAUUCCCAGUGUAGAGGUGAAAUUCGUAGAGAUGUGGAGGAAUACCGAUGGCGAAGGCAGCCCCCUGGGCCAAUACUGACGCUCAUGCACGAAAGCGUGGGGAGCAAACAGG